AAUGUUAUAGUUUAAAAAAAAUUUUAAAUUGCAAGUUUAAAGAUAGAAGUUUCUUAACAUUU
rnacentral:tRNA from 1 species